rnacentral:rRNA from 1 species
AGUGAACGCUGGCGGUAGGCCUAACACAUGCAAGUCGAACGGCAGCACAGUAAGAGCUUGCUCUUACGGGUGGCGAGUGGCGGACGGGUGAGGAAUACAGCGGAAUCUACUUUUUCGUGGGGGAUAACGUAGGGAAACUUACGCUAAUACCGCAUACGACCUACGGGUGAAAGCAGGGGAUCUUCGGACCUUGCGCGAUUGAAUGAGCCGAUGUCGGAUUAGCUAGUUGGCGGGGUAAAGGCCCACCAAGGCGACGAUCCGUAGCUGGUCUGAGAGGAUGAUCAGCCACACUGGAACUGAGACACGGUCCAGACUCCUACGGGAGGCAGCAGUGGGGAAUAUUGGACAAUGGGCGCAAGCCUGAUCCAGCCAUACCGCGUGGGUGAAGAAGGCCUUCGGGUUGUAAAGCCCUUUUGUUGGGAAAGAAAAGAAGAAGGUUAAUACCCCGCUGUUCUGACGGUACCCAAAGAAUAAGCACCGGCUAACUUCGUG